UGGGGAAUUUUGGACAAUGGGCGAAAGCCUGAUCCAGCAAUGCCGCGUGUGUGAAGAAGGCCUUCGGGUUGUAAAGCACUUUUGUCCGGAAAGAAAUCCUUGGCUCUAAUACAGUCGGGGGAUGACGGUACCGGAAGAAUAAGCACCGGCUAACUACGUGCCAGCAGCCGCGGUAAUACGUAGGGUGCAAGCGUUAAUCGGAAUUACUGGGCGUAAAGCGUGCGCAGGCGGUUUGCUAAGACCGAUGUGAAAUCCCCGGGCUCAACCUGGGAACUGCAUUGGUGACUGGCAGGCUAGAGUAUGGCAGAGGGGGGUAGAAUUCCACGUGUAGCAGUGAAAUGCGUAGAGAUGUGGAGGAAUACCGAUGGCGAAGGCAGCCCCCUGGGCCAAUACUGACGCUCAUGCACGAAAGCGUGGGGAGCAAACAGGAUUAGAUACCCUGGUAGUCCACGCCCUAAACGAUGUCAACUAGUUGUUGGGGACUUCAUUUUCCUUAGUAACGUAGCUAACGCGUGAAGUUGACCGCCU
rnacentral:rRNA from 1 species